UGUGUUUGGUCAUAUUGGCACUAUAUUAGCGCGUUGGCUAGUCAAAAAGGAUUAGUACAUUGUACAAUCAGGGAAUAAGCCGACCACUACCUGAAUUGGGCUCAUAGUCCAACGAUAGUUAGCACCGUAACCAAGGCUUCACAUGACUCUGCAGGAAUACGAUUUUUCUCUAUCUUACAAUGGCCCUUAACGUUACGGGGUCACUCUGUAUUGCCCUCAAAUUCUCAAAUAAACUGGGUUUCUUGUGCAGAUCACAUUGAUAGCUGAAGCAAACUCUAACCGCUUUUUUAUUCCUAGAAAAUAUGACCCUUUCCCCAAUGAGCUGACCAUGACGUGUUGUUUAUGGGAAAACCAGUUCUAAACUCGUAGACUAAAUGUCUCUCCGCUUAAUGUUCUCUAUUAGCAGCCAAAUUAUCUUGUUCUGAUUACGAAACGUAAACCGUCGUAUCAACCAAAAUCGUCGCUUGAUGGAGCAAACACAGCAGGAGAAAGCAAACGACAGGCUACAACGUAUGGCGGAUCGACGACGAGAAAUGACCCGUUGUGAUGCUUUCGCUGGCUACAUUUCUCGGGAAAGAGCCGAAGAACAUCUGAUAAAGCUGGAUCGUAUUGGAGCGUUUCUUUUUUGUGCACCUAAAGAUGGGACUUUGGUUAUAUCGUUACACACUGGAAACGCUGAACCACCCGUACGCCACUACGACAUAAACCUUAAUAGUAAUGGAGAAAUUUUUCUGGAAGAUGUACAGCCGUUUCGAAGCUUCAAAGAUUUAAUCAGCUAUUAUAGGGACCACGGAGACUUUAUAUCUACACCACUUGGACAAGCUGCUGGAGUUGUUGACUGGGAGAUCGACCACUUUGAUCUAGAAAAGCAAGAGCGUUUAGGAAGAGGAGGCUGCGCGACUGUGAACCGAGCCCUCUGGGGAGUGUACGAAGUUGCUGUGAAGGAAAGUAAUUACCCUGAGUUCGAUUCUCACCUCAUCCAUGAGGUGAACAUUAUUAAAAAACUCAACCAUAAAAAUAUCGUUACCUUCUUUGGACACUGCUCGAAACAGCCAAUACUAGUUGUGACAGAAUACAUGCGUCACGGACCGGCGAAGGAAUACGUCAGCCAAAAAGGGCCCACGCUGACUGAAUUCUGUCUUAUCAAUAUAUGCUACCAGGUAGUCUGGUUAGAUUUUCUCGUUGUAGACCGUUGCCAGGUGUGUCGUGGACUACGAUAUCUGGAAAAUUCUGGAACGGCCCAUUGUGAUCUUCACCUAAGAAACGUUCUUCUCGGAGGCGAAGAACCUUUUCUGAUUGUUAAACUCGCCGAUUUCGGCCAUACCAUAGAUUGGUCUACGUCGAACAAAUCAAAGGUCGAUUCGAAAAUCAAGGCGGAUGUCAAGCGUUUCGGCUAUAUACUAUGGAACGUAUUUCUAUUAGCGAGCGGGGCAUCUUCGGAAGAAAUUUGGGAAGCAAGCAAUAAAGCAAGACGACCCCACGGGUUUACCAAGUCGCUCUACAGAAUAUUUAAAAGUUGUACCAGAAGCUGGCCAAAGAUCAGACCGAGUUUCAAGACACUGGAGAAAAACAUGCGGCACCUAUUCUUUGCGAACGAAAAUGCCCCAAAAAUGUACAAAUUAAUUCAAGAUGAAGCUGACGACGAUCGCUACACACCUAUAGACAUAGAAGACAAAAAGAAAAAACCGAAAAUACCGAAGUAAAAUGCCGCCGUGAAUAUAACAGUACUCGCGAAAAGAAUAGCAGUUCCUCCCCGUUCGCUGUCGAGCCUCCGAUGAACACUGUUUGUCAGUAUCACGCGAUUACUGAAGAUCGAGAAGUAUAUUGAUGCCGGAACGUUCUUCGUGCAUCGAUCGAUCGCUCACUCGUUCCCAAUCGAGGUCUUAAUAACUACUGAGCAUGAAACAAUUGUAUCGCAACGUAAGACGUUGCCUAUUAGAGAAUAAAUAACAUCGAUGGGGAUUCGACGGCGAAAAACUGCGCACUGCUGUACCCGGGGAGGGACGAAACAACACCUGGCAAAGGGCGGCUAAACUGGGCCGCUCCUCUUCUGCGCCCUAAAAAAUAAAACCAUGUUCC